CACGUAGGGGCCAAGCGUUGUCCGGAUUCAUUGGGCGUAAAGAGCUCGUAGGCGGUUCAGUUAGUCGGGUGUGAAAUCUCCGGGCUCAACCCGGAGGGGCCACCCGAUACUGCUGUGACUCGAGUCCGGUAGGGGAGUGGGGAAUUCCUGGUGUAGCGGUGAAAUGCGCAGAUAUCAGGAGGAACACCGGUGGCGAAGGCGCCACUCUGGGCCGGUACUGAUGCUGAGGAGCGAAAGCGUGGGUAGCAAACAGG
rnacentral:rRNA from 1 species